UUUUAAAGAUUGGAAGAAUGAUGAAAAACAACAGUCAGUUUCUAAUGUCGAGUCUAGUGCUAAGCGAACCCAAAAAACAAGGCUUCAUCAAAGAUUGGAGCUGGUGCUCCUCCACAAGCAAAGAGGAGAAAGCUAGUAGCAAAUGUAGGAGAGGAAAGAGUGGAAGAAGAAACUUCUAGUGCUUGCAUCGGUCAAGCAGCAGUUUCUGGUCUAGCUCAUGACCAAGUACAAGAAUUAACAGUACAAGAAGAUUAUACUGCAAAAGAAACACCUGGAAGAGGUCUCCAGGAUCAGGAGCAUCAUCUCGUAUCUGGCUGUAUUAUUGAGCCGCUACCAUCUGAAACUCUGAGUUCUGGCCAACAAGCCAAUAAUAUGGCCAUUGAUGGUACUGGAGGUGUUCCUCAAGUUGAAUGCACUAAUUUGGAGCUUACUGCAGAAGGUAACUCCAUCCAGCACAAGCCUUGUACAACUCUUCUUUCAAACUAGUACCAUGUUAAAGUUUCUUCUGCUUUCCAUGUUCCAGAUGGUAAUCUGGCUACAAGCACAACUUCUUCUAUCACAACAACUUCUGGUUUUGCAGUUAUUUCUGCUGCAUCUGAACUUAGGAUCUUUUUGUCUCAGUCACUCCAAGUGUUGCUUUCUCCUACUGAAAAUGAUAGGUUCUGCUCCCUUUUAAAUGCUGAUAUCAACGCCGCCAGUAACGAAUGUAAGAAGCUCCGCAUGGGAGUGCUCUUGGCUAAAGUACGUCGGCUCAAGGGGGCAAUUGCUACUUGCCCCCUUAGUUCACGACCAGAAACACUGCCUCUGCAAGGAUACGAGAUUUUGGACUGAGCAAUCUCCCAAUCUGCU